UGUAUUUUACAGCUGUAUUGUAGGGUGUAUUGUAGCUGUAUUGUAGGGUUGGUGCACCUGCCAAAGCAUAAUGCAAGUGUCCUAAGACCAGGGGAGAGGGAAACAACCCACAGAAGGGAAGAGAAAAAGCUCACUUGAUUUUUCAGUACAAAUACAGAAGAUAAUAGCAGGGCCUCAUGAUCCUUCUGGCUUUUUGGGUUUUAAGUAGGAGGUGUCAGAAAAGGUACCA
rnacentral:ncRNA from 1 species